rnacentral:rRNA from 1 species
UACGGAGGGUGCAAGCGUUAUCCGGAUUCACUGGGUUUAAAGGGUGCGUAGGCGGUCUUCUAAGUCAGUUGUGAAAUACUUCAGCUUAACUGGAGAGGUGCAAUUGAUACUGGAAGUACUUGAGUACUGAUGAGGUAGGCGGAAUGGACGGUGUAGCGGUGAAAUGCUUAGAUAUCGUCCAGAACACCGAUAGCGAAGGCAGCUUACUAAGGAGUAACUGACGCUGAGGCACGAAAGUGUGGGGAUCAAACAGG